rnacentral:lncRNA from 1 species
AAAAGAACAUGUUCUGCUGGCACCUUGAUUUCUGACCCAGUGAGAGUGUGUUGGACUUAGGACCUUCAGAACUAGUGUUGACUGCAAGAUGAGGCAAAGGCAAAUAGGUGGAAUAACUGGAGAAUAACCCAGAAUGAGACACAGAAAGAGGAUUUUGAAAGGAUUUCCUUGCCUAUUAUCUGCUUUCUGAGAGAGCCACACAAAACAGGGGAAAAAACUGGAGAAUAAUGGUUGUGUCAUCAUGACAAACAACUGACAUAGUUGAGGCCAGUCGAAGGCCCAGAGCAACCCUGGUCCUGUAGUCAGAGACGACUUAUGAAAAUAAAUGAAUCUGGCUCAUUGACUUGAGUUCUUGUACCCAAACUGGAAAGGUGUGGUACCUGACACAGGAACAAAGUCUGUCUGAAAUCAGCUGUCCGGGAUGUCAUUUUCUCUAGUGCAGAGACUCGAUUGCCUAAAUUGGUAGCAGAGGUGGAUGUUUCCUAACAUGAUCUUCCUUGGCCAACAGUGACUGACAUCUGAGAUUCAGAGCCAGGGUUGAGUCCUCCUCACAGGGCGAGUUCUCUGACAAGGAAGUUUUGCAACCUAAUUUACAGCUGGAGCCAAGCUUGUCAGUGAGUGCCAGAGGGAAACUGUCGCAAUCGGCAGGCAAAGUAUAUUCAUUUAACAAGGGGAGUCUCUGAGGAGCUAUCAAAAACUGCUUGCCAUCUUUCCAAAUCAUCUCUGUCUGCAGUGACCAUGUCUUAAUCCUGAAGGAAAACAAGGUGGAAAUUGAUUUUUACUUCUCUGCAGCUAAGUAUGUGGCAGUCUUGGCCACAUGGUGACUCAGCAGAGGAGCCUAUGUACUGGCUGUCCUGAUGCUCUUCCUGAUUCAACUGAUUCUCUACACUUGAUCUUAGCCAAAAGGCCGAGAAGCAAUGAUUCAACUGAUUCUCAAAAGGACACCGCUGCAGGAAUAAACCCACUUCUAAAUAUGGAGCUCACAUGAAAUCAUGUUGAACAUAGCAGAGCGGGAAGAUGGAAGGAAUCCGAGAUCUAUGUUUGAUGUUAAGCGAUGAUGUUAAAAACUUAAAAAACUCCAGAACUCUCUUACCCCUGGGCUUGUUAUAAUAAAAAGAUAAUAAUCCUCUU